AUCUUGGUUAAUGUUGAGUUUAUGAGACAGUUGUAAUAAAGCUUUAUACUUAGGGCUAUCAACAUAAUAUCAAUGAUUAGUAAAGAAGGCGAGACAUUUCAGCGUGUGCACUCUUGUUUAUAAACUUCUGAUACAUUGAUAUGACAUUUAGAAGUUUUGGAGCUGUAUUUUUUUAAAAUGCAUUUGGCGUAUCAUGCUCUCAUGGCACAGAUUUUUUUUAUUGGUUAACCUCAUUUCACAGAUCAGCGAUCAAGGUUAAAGUUUGUUUAGGUGGUGAAGUCUGUAUCUCAUAUACUAUUAUAAACAACAGGUCAACUAUAUGUGGCAUGUGGAUUGAUUGUAAGAUGUACAUGUCCAAAUGGUGGGUUUCAUCUGACCUUGACCUCAUUUUCAUGGUUCAUUGGUCAAAGUUAAUUUAUUGUGCUUUGGUCUAUUUCUUAGAUACUAUUAGUAGGAGAUCAGCUGUAUCUGGUUUAAGAAAUGAUUGUAAGAUGUACUUGUCUGUCUGGCUGGUUGUUCUUUACCCACUGAAGAAAUGAUUGUAAGAUGUACUUGUCUGUCUGGCUUGUAAGAUGUACUUGUCUGUCUGGCUUGUUAGAUAUUCUUGUCUGUCUGGCUUGUAAGAUGUACUUGUCUGUCUGGCUUGUAAGAUGUACUUGUCUCUCUGGCUGGUUGUUCUUUACCAUUUUCAUGGUGCAUGUUGGACAAUGUUAGGUUUUUUUCCUGUUUAUGUUCUAUAUUUAUUUCUCAGGUACUAUAAGCAUGAUAAGUAAUAAGGCCAUUAUUUUUGGUGAAUUGAAUUAUUGUAAUGUUUACAUGUCUGUCAGUCAUGUCAGUGGGCAGAUUUCAUCUGAACUUGACCUUAGUUUUAGUCAAAGUUAAAUUUUCAUGGUUAUGUCUGUUAUCUGAUAUUAUAAGCAAUAGGUCAACGUAAUUUGGUGUACAACAUGAUUGUUGGAUGAGCAUGUCUGACAGUGUUGUCUGACAUUAACCCUUUUCAUGGUUCAUUAGUCAAUGUAAAUUUUAGUAAUAAUUAUUUUUCUGAUUUUAUAUUAGAUUUUUAUUAUUCAAUGUUGUGAUUGUAUUGAUACAAUUAUCAUGAUUAUGUAAAAUGUAUAAACAUAUUUAUAAAAGCAUGUAAUAUUAAAAC
rnacentral:lncRNA from 1 species